GAGAAUUCAGUUAUUAAGAGCUGGGUUUCGCAGAAAAUGAUGGACGUGUUUGAUGACGAGGUUGAGGGUGAGGCUACUAUUUUGAUGAAAGAUUACCUGGAAGCUGUUGAAGAAGAGGAACUGAGAAGAAGGGUUGGAAUUGAAGAGUGUGUUCUUCCAAGAAGGGACGAAGAUCAAGAUGGAGAUGAGCGUGAAGGAAGCGUUGGAGAGGGCGAUGAGGACUUUGUCUGAGUGGAUAAGACGGGAAGUGAAUCGAAAUAUGUAAUGAUCAUAUAUACUUGAUACUUGGUUCAUUCGAAUGAUAAUGUAUGAAUAUUUUAGAUUAUAUAUAAUAUUGUUAUUGUCGAUUUUAUCA